rnacentral:rRNA from 1 species
UACGUAGGGUGCAAGCGUUAAUCGGAAUUACUUGGCGUAAAGCGUGCGCAGGCGGUGAUGUAAGACAGAUGUGAAAUCCCCGGGCUCAACCUGGGAACUGCAUUUGUGACUGCAUCGCUGGAGUACGGCAGAGGGGGAUGGAAUUCCGCGUGUAGCAGUGAAAUGCGUAGAUAUGCGGAGGAACACCGAUGGCGAAGGCAAUCCCCUGGGCCUGUACUGACGCUCAUGCACGAAAGCGUGGGGAGCAAACAGG